GUAUUUAAAUCCCCUGCUUAGAUCCAGUUGGUGCAUGCAGCCCUGGUUUGUGCAGUGUUCCACAUGAUUCUCUAUGGAUUUGAUGUGGGAGAACGCUUAACCCAGGGGCUGCCCUAUGUGUAUCCUCAUGGACCUAUAGACAGACUCGAUGAUAUUGGGAUCAGGACUCUGUGGGCGUCAUAUCAUCACUUCCAGGACUCCUUGUCCUUCUUUACGCUGAAGAUAGACAUCCAAUGGGAGCCUUUUUGUCCAUAACAAGCUUCCGUAGGUACCUCUGUAGCUCACCUGCUCCGUGCCACUACUAGUUGAACUGCUGCUUUGAAACCUUCCACGUCAGUGAGUGCUUUGAAAAUAGAGGUUCAAAUGGAAGAAGUGCUGCAGCACUGUAAGCUACUGCACCAUGUAAUUAACAAGUACCUUGCAUUUAAAAAAUAAUAAAUAAAUACAUCGAAGAGAA